CCCUCCCUCUGGCGGCAUGCCUAACACAUGCAAGUCGAACGAGACCUUCGGGUCUAGUUGCGCACGGGUGCGUAACGCGUGGGAACCUGCCCUUAGGUUCGGAAUAACUCCCCGAAAGGGGUGCUAAUACCGGAUAAUGUCUUCGGACCAAAGAUUUAUCGCCUUUGGAUGGGCCCGCGUUGGAUUAGCUAGUUGGUAGGGUAAAAGCCUACCAAGGCGACGAUCCAUAGCUGGUCUGAGAGGAUGAUCAGCCACACUGGGACUGAGACACGGCCCAGAAUCCUACGGGAGGAAGCAGUCGGGAAUAUUGGACAAUGGGCGAAAGCCUGAUACAGCAAUGCCGAGUGAGUGAUGAAGGCCUUAGGGUUGUAAAGCUCUUUUAACCGGGAUGAUAAUGACAGUACCGGGAGAAUAAGCUCCGGCUAACUCCGUG
rnacentral:rRNA from 1 species